rnacentral:rRNA from 1 species
UGAACGCUGGCGGCGUGCCUAAUACAUGCAAGUCGAGCGAACGGACGAGAAGCUUGCUUCUCUGAUGUUAGCGGCGGACGGGUGAGUAACACGUGGAUAACCUACCUAUAAGACUGGGAUAACUUCGGGAAACCGGAGCUAAUACCGGAUAAUAUUUUGAACCGCAUGGUUCAAAAGUGAAAGACGGUCUUGCUGUCACUUAUAGAUGGAUCCGCGCUGCAUUAGCUAGUUGGUAAGGUAACGGCUUACCAAGGCAACGAUGCAUAGCCGACCUGAGAGGGUGAUCGGCCACACUGGAACUGAGACACGGUCCACACUCCUACGGGAGGCAGCAGUAGGGAAUCUUCCGCAAUGGGCGAAAGCCUGACGGAGCAACGCCGCGUGAGUGAUGAAGGUCUUCGGAUCGUAAAACUCUGUUAUUAGGGAAGAACAUAUGUGUAAGUAACUGUGCACAUCUUGACGGUACCUAAUCAGAAAGCCACGGCCAACUACGUG